UGCUGAUUAAUUCCUGACACAACUAAAUGUGUUGACAGAUUAAAGCGUGCUUAUCCAAACUGUGUGGGGGGAAAACAAACAGUAUUUGAUGACUUCAGUGUUCGGGAGAAUCAGAGGACACAAAGCACAAGCCCACAUUUCCCAGAAACACCAGGUUCUGAGAUACCAACCAUUAAACUGAAAAACACAGUACUGCUUGUUCUAAAGAUGUGUUUGUACUUUCCGAUAAAAGAAAGUCUGAAGAGGAUUAACCGGAUAAAGAAGAAGAGAAAGAUAUUCAGCGGAUUUUAUCUAAUUUCUACAGAGAGAGCUUCCACAUCACAUGACAGCCAUCUGCAAACACAGGAGUGGACUUUGACCAAUGUGAACUCCAGUGACUCAGUGAAGGUUGGAUAGAGAGGGAGUCUCGAUGAAUCCAGGUGCACUGUGCCAUCACAGCUGACUACCUCCUGAGAAGACUCGAGCUGUCCAACAUAGAAGACGGACUUUCGAUGGUCGCUGUACGUUAGCCUAGGCUCCACUUCCUGUGUCCCAUCACCAUGGUUAUAAAGAGGCCAAAGCUUCACAGUCUUGUCUUUACUACCAGAAAGAAAGUAAUCCUCUCCUGCCAGCGGUGCCAAACACUUGGUGGUGCCCGAGUGACCCAGGAAGCUCUGCAGUCUGAUCUGGUGGAAGUGGAAAUGUGGAUCCUGUACGUU